rnacentral:rRNA from 1 species
AUUGAACGCUGGCGGCAGGCUUAACACAUGCAAGUCGAGCGGGGGAAGGUAGCUUGCUACCGGACCUAGCGGCGGACGGGUGAGUAAUGCUUAGGAAUCUGCCUAUUAGUGGGGGACAACAUCUCGAAAGGGAUGCUAAUACCGCAUACGUCCUACGGGAGAAAGCAGGGGAUCUUCGGACCUUGCGCUAAUAGAUGAGCAUAAGUCGGAUGAGCUAGUUGGUGGGGUAAAGGCCUACCAAGGCGACGAUCUGUAGCGGGUCUGAGAGGAUGAUCCGCCACACUGGGACUGAGACACGGCCCAGACUCCUACGGGAGGCAGCAGUGGGGAAUAUUGGACAAUGGGGGGAACCCUGAUCCAGCCAUGCCGCGUGUGUGAAGAAGGCCUUAUGGUUGUAAAGCACUUUAAGCGAGGAGGAGGCUACUCUAGUUAAUACCUAGGGAUAGUGGACGUUACUCGCAGAAUAAGCACCGGCUAACUCUGUGCCAGCAGCCGCGGUAA